rnacentral:rRNA from 1 species
UAGGGAAUAUUGGACAAUGGGGGCAACCCUGAUCCAGCCAUGCCGCGUGAGUGAAGAAGGCCCUCGGGUUGUAAAGCUCUUUUGUCCGGAAAGAAAAGCUUCGGGUUAAUACCCCGGGGUUCUGACGGUACCGGAAGAAUAAGCACCGGCUAACUUCGUGCCAGCAGCCGCGGUAAUACGAAGGGUGCAAGCGUUACUCGGAAUUACUGGGCGUAAAGCGUGCGUAGGUGGUUGUUUAAGUCUGAUGUGAAAGCCCUGGGCUCAACCUGGGAAUGGCAUUGGAAACUGGGCAGCUAGAGUGCGGUAGAGNGUAGUGGAAUUCCCGGUGUAGCAGUGAGAUGCGUAGAGAUCGGGAGGAACAUCUGUGGCGAAGGCGACUGCCUGGACCAGCACUGACACUGAGGCACGAAAGCGUGGGGAGCAAACA